GCCAUGCCGCGUGUGUGAAGAAGGCCUUCGGGUUGUAAAGCACUUUCAGUAGGGAGGAAGGUAGUGUAGUUAACACCUGCAUUAUUUGACGUUACCUACAGAAGAAGCACCGGCUAACUCCGUGCCAGCAGCCGCGGUAAUACGGAGGGUGCGAGCGUUAAUCGGAAUUACUGGGCGUAAAGCGCAUGCAGGCGGCCUGUUAAGUCAGAUGUGAAAGCCCGGGGCUUAACCUCGGAAUUGCAUUUGAAACUGGCAGGCUAGAGUCUUGUAGAGGGGGGUAGGAAUUUCAGGUGUAGCGGUGAAAUGCGUAGAGAUCUGAAGGAAUACCAGUGGCGAAGGCGGCCCCCUGGACAAAGACUGACGCUCAGAUGCGAAAGCGUGGGGAGCAAACAGGAUUAGAUACCCUGGUAG
rnacentral:rRNA from 1 species